CACAUGCGUACAUGCUUUUGUUCAGCUGGUGGACAAAGGCAUGGAAAGCAGGUUAAAAAAAAAAAUCUUUUGCAACCCAGAACUCAUUGCUCAGUAUGUGGUUUGACACAUCCAGGAAUGGAAUAUG